UUAGGGGGCAAGCGUUGUCCGGAUUUAUUGGGCGUAAAGAGCUCGUAGGCGGUUCGGCAAGUCGGAUGUGAAAUCUCCACGCUCAACGUGGAGGGGCCAUUCGAUACUGCCGUGACUCGAGUCCGGUAGGGGAGUGUGGAAUUCCCGGUGUAGCGGUGAAAUGCGCAGAGAUCGGGAGGAACACCCGUAGCGAAGGCGGCACUCUGGGCCGGUACUGACGCUGAGGAGCGAAAGCGUGGGGAGCGAACAGGAUUAGAUACCCUGGUAGUCCACGCCGUAAACGUUGGGCACUAGGUGUGGGACUCUAUCGACGGGUUCCGUGCCGUAGCUAACGCAUUAAGUGCCCCGCCUGGGGAGUACGGCCGCAAGGCUA
rnacentral:rRNA from 1 species